rnacentral:rRNA from 1 species
CUUGCUCUCAAGAAGUUAGCGGCGGACGGGUGAGUAACACGAUGGGUAACCUGCCCAUAAGACUGGGAUAACUCCGGGAAACCGGGGCUAAUACCGGAUAACAUUUUGAACUGCAUGGUUCGAAAUUGAAAGGCGGCUUCGGCUGUCACUUAUGGAUGGACCCGCGUCGCAUUAGCUAGUUGGUGAGGUAACGGCUCACGAAGGCAACGAUGCGUAGCCGACCUGAGAGGGUGAUCGGCCACACUGGGACUGAGACACGGCCCAGACUCCUACGGGAGGCAGCAGUAGGGAAUCUUCCGCAAUGGACGAAAGUCUGACGGAGCAACGCCGCGUGAGUGAUGAAGGCUUUCGGGUCGUAAAACUCUGUUGUUAGGGAAGAACAAGUGCUAGUUGAAUAAGCUGGCACCUUGACGGUACCUAACCAGAAAGCCACGGCUAACUACGUGCCAGCAGCCGCGGUAAUACGUAGGUGGCAAGCGUUAUCCGGAAUUAUUGGGCGUAAAGCGCGCGCAGGUGGUUUCUUAAGUCUGAUGUGAAAGCCCACGGCUCAACCGUGGAGGGUCAUUGGAAACUGGGAGACUUGAGUGCAGAAGAGGAAAGUGGAAUUCCCAUGUGUAGCGGUGAAAUGCGUAGAGAUAUGGAGGAACCACCCCAGUGGCGAAGGCGACUUUUCUGGUCUGUAACUGACACUGAGGC